rnacentral:rRNA from 1 species
AUUGAACGCUGGCGGCGGGCCUAACACAUGCAAGUCGAGCGGAUGAAGGGAGCUUGCUCCUGGAUUCAGCGGCGGACGGGUGAGUAAUGCCUAGGAAUCUGCCUGGUAGUGGGGGAUAACGUCCGGAAACGGGCGCUAAUACCGCAUACGUCCUGAGGGAGAAAGUGGGGGAUCUUCGGACCUCACGCUAUCAGAUGAGCCUAGGUCGGAUUAGCUAGUUGGUGGGGUAAAGGCCUACCAAGGCGACGAUCCGUAACUGGUCUGAGAGGAUGAUCAGUCACACUGGAACUGAGACACGGUCCAGACUCCUACGGGAGGCAGCAGUGGGGAAUAUUGGACAAUGGGCGAAAGCCUGAUCCAGCCAUGCCGCGUGUGUGAAGAAGGUCUUUGGAUUGUAAAGCACUUUAAGUUGGGAGGAAGGGCAGUAAGUUAAUACCUUGCUGUUUUGACGUUACCAACAGAAUAAGCACCGGCUAACUUCGUG